rnacentral:rRNA from 1 species
GGCGGCAUGCUUACACAUGCAAGUCGAACGGCAGCACGGGAGCAAUCCUGGUGGCGAGUGGCGAACGGGUGAGUAAUAUAUCGGAACGUGCCCAGUCGUGGGGGAUAACGUAGCGAAAGCUACGCUAAUACCGCAUACGAUCUAUGGAUGAAAGCGGGGGAUCGCAAGACCUCGCGCGAUUGGAGCGGCCGAUAUCAGAUUAGGUAGUUGGUGAGGUAAAGGCUCACCAAGCCGACGAUCUGUACUGGUCUGAGAAGACGACCAGCCACACUGGGACUGAGACACGGCCCAGACUCCUACGGGAAGCACCAGUGGGAAUUUGGACAAUGGGCCCAAGCCUGAUCCAGCAAUGCCGCGU